rnacentral:rRNA from 1 species
CCUGCCCAUAAGAGGGGGGAUAACGAUCCGGAAACGGGUGCUAAUACGCAUAGUUUCUUGAUCGCAUGAUCGGGAAAGGAAAGACGGCCUUUCGUGCUGUCGCUUAUGGAUGGACCCGCGGCGUAUUAGUUAGUUGGUGAGGUAACGGCUCACCAAGACGAUGAUACGUAGCCGACCUGAGAGGGUGAUCGGCCACAUUGGGACUGAGACACGGCCCAAACUCCUACGGGAGGCAGCAGUAGGGAAUCUUCCGCAAUGGACGAAAGUCUGACGGAGCAACGCCGCGUGAGUGAAGAAAGGUUUUCGGAUCGUAAAACUCUGUUGUCAGAGAAGAACAAGUUGGAGAGUAACUGCUCCAGCCUUGACGGUAUCUGACCAGAAAGCCACGGCUAACUACGUGCCAGCAGCCGC